UACGGGGGGGGCAAGCGUUGUUCGGAAUUACUGGGCGUAAAGGGCGCGUAGGCGGCCUUCUAAGUCGAACGUGAAAUCCCCGGGCUCAACCCGGGAACUGCGUCCGAUACUGGAAGGCUUGAAUCCGGGAGAGGGAUGCGGAAUUCCAGGUGUAGCGGUGAAAUGCGCAGAUAUCGGGAAGAACACCCGUGGCGAAGGCGGUUCUCUGGGACGGUACUGACGCUGAGACGCGAAAGCGUGGGGAGCGAACAGG
rnacentral:rRNA from 1 species